AAAGGAUCUAAGACUUCAAGGCUGCAGACUUUGAAUUGGAUCUUGUAGGAAAAACCAUUGAAGAUUGCUGAGUAGGAGAGAGAGAUGAUACAAAUAGCUAUCCAGGGACUGAAUCUGGUAGAAGGCAAAGAAAUCUAACAGUCAGGUGUGGGAGAACCAGCUCAGUUCCACGGACGGGUUGCAGAUAACAGAACCCGUGGGUGGAGGUUGAAGGGAUGGCAGGGGAAAUGGUUCUUUUGAACGUGAGGAUAUUUGAAGUCUCAAAGAGUUGUUAGUGGAGGAAUUUGGGGAGGUAUUUGGUAGAGGGCUGUUGCUGCCCUAAAUUUUUACUAGCUCUGGAAUUGGAGGACCAAAGAGUGCUGGAAAUAUCCACCCUGAGUGGAGACGGAGGUGCUGUGGGGUAGAAUCCAUGUGGGAGACUCAGAGAGGAACUUCAUUUGUUACAUGAAGUUAGCAGGACAUUAUGGGGUCAAAUGAGAAUGGUGCUUGAGAGGCUUUCUUUUUCUAGGAAAUCUGGGUGGUUUUUGUUUCGUUUUGCUUGUUUUCUGAGACAGGGUCUUGCACUGUCACCUAGGCUGGCAUGUGGUGGCACCAUCAUGGCUCACUCUGACCUCAACCUCUUAGGCUCAAGCAGUCCUCCUGCCUCAGCCUCUCGAGUAGCUGGGGGACUACAGGUGUGCACCACCACACCCAGCUAAUUUUUUUUUUAACUUUUUUGGAGAUGGGGGAGUCUUUCUGUGUUGCCCAGGCUGGUCUCAAAACUCCUGGCCUUAAGCCAUCUUCCCACCUCAGCCUCCCAAAGUGCUGGGAUUACAGGUAUGAGCCAUAGCUCCCAUCUGAAAUUUGUUUUUUAAAAGGAUUAAACCAAAUAUAGUCAAAGAUUGGUAUUUCUUUUUCUUUUAACUGACAAUUUAUUGCACCAACUAGAACAGCCUGGUUCGUGCAUCCUUACGUCUCUGUCUAUUGGGAUACCAUUUAAAGUCUUUCAGAACACGUCAUAGUAUGUCAAGAUUGGUUCAUCUUACACGUAGCUGGGCUGCCAUGACUUCCCUGACUUCUACCUCCCCUUCCUUGGCUCUGACUCCCUCCUCAUGCCUCUUCCUAAGUGCCCAGCACCCUGUGCCCCCCAUCGUCUCUCCCCUUGUUCUGACUUCUUGCCACCAUCUUGAAUCUCACUUUCCAUUUGCCCUAAUCUCUGCUAUUGGUUCCUAAAGUGUAGAUAGCCUUUGGUGUCAAAAAGACGUGGCUUUAAACUUCAUAGUUGUAUGGCCUUGAACAAGUUAAUUAACAGAACAUCAAUUUCCUCAUCUGUCAAAUAGGGAUAAUAAAGUUCCCAUUGUUCUGAGGCUUAAAUCACAAUAGAUACAUAGCAAAGACACUGGCAGAUACUAAGGUCUCAAUAAGAGAUUACUAAUUUCAAACAGAAGUUCAAGUUGGUAGUGGGCUAGUGUUAUAUCCUAAAAGAAUGAAUCUUUGAGAAGGAAAUUUCAGUAGGCAAAUGUAGAUUAUUUUGGUGUGAGAAAGUACAAAUUAAACCACAACUAUAUCAUGGUCCUUAUCUAGGAGUGGACAGGGUUUCAGUUCACCCCUUGGCCACACUCCAGAGUUUGCAGGAGGUAGUACCCCACCUCGCUGAGUUUUCUGGUCCUCUUUCACAGUGCUUUUCUUGGGUGCCCUUAAUUUAAUUAGACUUGUGAACUCCUAAGUUGCCUGUUGCUGUUGGCCCCAUAAAGCUGUGUAGCAGAAGGAAUAACUACCAUUUAUUGAGAGCUUCUUACUUUGGAAGACUUUACAUACAUCCCUUCAUAACUCUGAUGUAUGUUUCAUUACACCCAUUUUAUAGGUGGAAAGCUCCAGGCUCAGGGAGGUUAAGUAGGCCCAAAGUCACACAGCAACCAAAUAGUAGAGCCAGGAUUUGAACUCAGUUCUUUGACUCCAAAGCCCAUGUGCUUGGCCAAAAAGUUGUUUUCCUGGGGCCAGUAUCGUUGUUGAAAAAAGAAAAGCCAGCACCUCUUUUAAAUUAUUCCAUUUUGCCUCCGGAUUUUUUGACUGAAGAUAAAAUUGGGGGAAACAAAAUAUAUUAAACAGAACAUGCUCUGUGCAUUUGCCAAAAUGAUGAACACAGUAAGAGGAUAAAAAAGAAUGUUUGAGGCAGGAAAAAACCCUUAGCGCUGAGCCCUAGCAUUUUAUAGCUGAGAAAUGAAGAGGAGAGGAGUUGGGUCCUCCAAGGUCACAGGUGGGACAGGCAGGGCUGGUGCCGAGGGGAUGCUCACUGUCUUACAGCCCUGCACCCCCCCCCCAGUAUUUAUUAAUCACCACUUGUGUGCAAAGAAUUGUGCUGGGCUCUGUGGAGAAACACAAGAGGAUUAGGAAUCCCUGGCUGCCUAGACAGCACUUAGCAUCUGGUGGAGACUGGCAGCCUGGUUAAGCCUCUGGGGAUCUGGAAAGCUGGGACCAUCAGAGAGGCCUUUAGGCGGCUGUCUCUGAUAAAGGACCGCAUCCCCAGCUUUUCUUCAUUCCUCUUCAGUGGAUGUAGCCUGAACCAGCCAGGUGUCUGUGGGAGACCUUUCCUGAAGCACUGUGGUGGCAGCUCCUCAGAUUAAGGGAUCAGGGACAGAGGCCCUCCAGGCCCUACUGUUGCCAGGGCAACAUUGAGUCAGGCCAGGGCCUCUCCUCCAGCGCUCUGGAAAGCAUUACUGCUGCUGAAGCCUCUUGUUGCUUCCCAGUCAUACUGGCAACUUCUAGAUGACAAUUUGUAAAAAAAAAAAAAAAAAAAAAUCAACUUUGCAUCUACCAUUUCUAGUUGGUUUCCUUGAAAUGAGGAAUUUUAGUUAAAAUAUAGACUUUAGCCCUUUUAUUUCUGUUUUCUACAAAGGACAGCUCCAGGUUAAAUGAUUUCUCUAAAAAAAAGAAAGAAAAGGAAGGUGAAAGGAAGGAAAAAAGGGGAAAAGACCAGGAUAGAAAGAAAGAAAAGAAAACAUUAAACAUAGUACUAUUGAUCGCAACCUUACAUGAAAAGUUCUGUUCAGAAGUCAGAACUAGCCAUAAGUUUAUUAAGGAUAAUAACUAAAAUCACUACAAUUCAUUGAGUUUUACCAUGUUGCAGUCACUGUGCCAGAUCAUAAACGCUUUCCUUUCAUUUUAUCUUGCAACAACCUGUGAAAUUGGUAUCUGUGUCCCCUUGAACAGAUGAAGUUCAGAGAGGUUCAGCCAUCAGCAGCCAAGGUCACACGGCCAGAAUUUAAACCUAAGUGGGUGGGAACCCCAGCUGUGUGCUAUUAACCACUGUUACAUACUGCCUCCCAAUUUCAACAUGGAUCCUUAAUAAAAAGGGCAAAACAUGACUAUUUCUCUUUGAUUUGCAGCUCUCACUGUCUAUGGGCACAGCAUGUGAGUCUGGACCUGCCUGAAAGCACAGUUCCCUGGCUGCCUGGCCAGCCAAGCCCAGGCGACAUUGGGAGACGUCCUGAGGUUCACCUGACCAGGGUAGAAUAGGUGUUCCUGGGCACACUGGUGGUUAGAACACCAAUCCAGCCCCCGUUUUAGACUGAGUCCUCUAUACCUUAGGGACUUUGGGGAGAGCACUGUUAUGGCAAGAGGCCACCUUUCUCUGUUUAUUUCUGACGUUGGGACCUAAGAAGCCAUUUGUUUAUCAGUCAGAGGAGUAGUUGCAUGAAGGAGAUUAUUAUAAGGAAGAAAUACCUGCUCCCUAAUAACACAAAAUACACCCUUGACUCUAAUCCUGCCGGCUCAGUGCUACCUCUAAGUUCUCACCAUUCCCUCCCCGCCACUACCGCAUGAAUGAAACUCACUGCUUCUCUUUGUAAAAUAAUAUCUCAAAAUAACUCAAGUAUUAUAAGACAGGAGCAUCACUGCUGUCUAUUAAUUCAGGUAAUGGAAAGUUGAAUUUUAAUGACAAAAUGUAUCAGUGAAAAUGUCUAUCCCUGCUGGUAAUUUUAUUUAAAGAAUGAUUAUCAGGACAACAGACUGUUUCUUCUUAAAAUCAGUAUAGUCUAAUAAGUAUAAAAUCUUUUUAAAAAUUAAAUGCAAUCAGCUCUUCAUUUACCUGAUACACAAAUAAUCAAAUUAUGCCCUCAAAGGAUUGAAAUAGCUUGGAUUUAAGCUAAACUCAAUUAAGAAAAGUAAACAAGUAUGAAAGGUGAAACUUGCCAUUUUUCCACAGAAGGUACCAGCCAAGAACUACAUGGUCCCAUGAUCAAAUUUGCUGCAGGUAAAUUAUGCAAAUUC
rnacentral:lncRNA from 10 species